rnacentral:rRNA from 1 species
CCUACGGGAGGCAGCAGUGGGGAAUAUUGCACAAUGGGGGAAACCCUGAUGCAGCGACGCCGCGUGAGUGAUGAAGUAUUUCGGUAUGUAAAGCUCUAUCAGCAGGGAAGAAAAUGACGUUACCUGACUAAUAAGCCCCGUCUAACUACGUGCAAGCAGCCGCGGUAAUACGUAGGGGGCAAGCGUUAUCAGGAUUUACUGGGUGUAAAGUGAGCGUAGACUGCUAAUCAAGUCAGAAGUGAAAACACAGGGCUCAACCUUGGGACUGCUUUUGAAACUGAGUAGCUAGAGUGCAGGAGAGGGAAGCGGAAUACCUAGUGUAGCGGUGAGAUGCGUAGAUAUUAGGAGGAACACCAGUGGCGAAGGCGGCUUACUGGACUGUAACUGACGUUGAGGCUCGAAAGCGUGGGGAGCAAACAGGAUUAGAUACCCCAGUAGUC